AUUGAACGCUGGCGGCAGGCCUAACACAUGCAAGUCGAACGAGUGGCGGACGGGUGAGUAAUGUCUGGGAAACUGCCUGAUGGAGGGGGAUAACUACUGGGAACGGUAGCUAAUCCAGCAUAACAUCGGAUGUGGCCGGAUGGGAUUAGCUAGUAGGUGGGGUAAAGGCUCACCUAAGCGACGAUCCCUAGCUGGUCUGAGAGGAUGACCGGCCACACUGGAACUGAGACACGGUCCAGACUCCUACGGGAGGCAGCAGUGGGGAAUAUUGCACAAUGGGCGCAAGCCUGAUGCAGCCAUGCCGCGUGUAUGAAGAAGGCCUUCGGGUUGUAAAGUACUUUCAGCGGGGAGGCGUUACCCGCAGAAGAAGCACCGGCUAACUCCGUGCCAGCAGCCGCGGUAAUAC
rnacentral:rRNA from 1 species